GAUGAACGCUAGCUACAGGCUUAACACAUGCAAGUCGAGGGGAAACGGCAUUGAGUGCUUGCACUCUUUGGACGUCGACCGGCGCACGGGUGAGUAACGUGUAUCCAACCUUCCCAUUACUGUGGGAUAACCUGCCGAAAGGCAGACUAAUACCGCAUAGUCUUCGAUGACGGCAUCAGAUUUGAAGUAAAGAUUUAUCGGUAAUGGAUGGGGAUGCGUCUGAUUAGCUUGUUGGCGGGGUAACGGCCCACCAAGGCUACGAUCAGUAGGGGUUCUGAGAGGAAGGUCCCCCACAUUGGAACUGAGACACGGUCCAAACUCCUACGGGAGGCAGCAGUGAGGAAUAUUGGGAAAUGGACGGAAGUCUGAACCAGCCAAGUAGCGUGCAGGAUGACGGCCCUAUGGGUUGUAAACUGCUUUUGUAUGGGGAUAAAGUUAGGGACGGGUCCCUAUUUGCAGGUACCAUACGAAUAAGGACCGGCUAAUUCCGUG
rnacentral:rRNA from 1 species